rnacentral:rRNA from 1 species
GACGAACGCUGGCGGCGUGCCUAAUACAUGCAAGUAGAACGCUGAAGGAGGAGCUUGCUCUUCUGGAUGAGUUGCGAACGGGUGAGUAACGCGUAGGUAACCUGCCUGGUAGCGGGGGAUAACUAUUGGAAACGAUAGCUAAUACCGCAUAAGAGUAGAUGUUGCAUGACAUUUACUUAAAAGGUGCAAUUGCAUCACUACCAGAUGGACCUGCGUUGUAUUAGCUAGUUGGUGGGGUAACGGCCUACCAAGGCGACGAUACAUAGCCGACCUGAGAGGGUGAUCGGCCACACUGGGACUGAGACACGGCCCAGACUCCUACGGGAGGCAGCAGUAGGGAAUCUUCGGCAAUGGACGGAAGUCUGACCGAGCAACGCCGCGUGAGUGAAGAAGGUUGUCGGAUCGUAAAGCUCUGUUGUAAGAGAAGAACGAGUGUGAGAGUGGAAAGUUCACACUGUGACGGUAUCUUACCAGAAAGGGACGGCUAACUACGUG